ACAGAUACUACAACAGAACACUUCAUCCCAGACACAACAACCUUGGGCUAGCUUGUCUCCCGAUCAAAUAUGUAAGAAAGACAACUUGACAUAUGCAAUUAUUUUGUAGUCUUUAAAACAAAUAAAAUUGACAGAAG